rnacentral:lncRNA from 1 species
CAGACAAUAAGAAUUUUCCUUAGGACUCAGGUAGUAGUUUGUGUUAGUGAGUGCUUUCUGCUUUCAAGUUUUCAUUGUUCUCAAUAAGAGAAUGUUGUUCCUACCCCUUAUGGGAUGUCAUUUACUUGGAAGGACUGCCAGCUCUGUCUGAGAUCUACAACUGUAUUCUGAGUGGUAUGAUCUUUGACAUUUAUGUUACAGAACCUCUUUAUAGGCCUCAUAUUGAUUUUAUCUGGUUUUCUGGAUCUGAAAGAGAAUAACGUAUAUAUUUGGCUUUUCUCACUGUUCACCUGAAACUUCUCAGACCUUAAGCUACUGAACAGGUUAACCAAGAACUUUAUUCAGAGUUCAGUAAUUCAGUUACCUAAGGAGAAAGAGUGCCAGUGGGUAAACUCCCUAUUUCCAUGGUUUCAGCCUUUUGAUUAUUGAAAGUAUUGGGUCAGGAUUCGCUUUCCACUGUUGCGUUCCAUCUGGUCUCUAACUCAAUCAUAAGCUGCAGAAGUAUAUAUAGUCUCCUUUGAGUGACUAGUUGCUAGCUUUCUUCUUAAGAUAACUAAGGCUUGAAUCUCAAAGUCUCCCUAGAGAGUGCUUUAGAUAGUACUACUUAGAAUAGCCUGACCAAGUGGUGUGUUUCUCUUCUCUCUCUUGAGUUUUUUUUGGCCUCUCCUAAUUACCCAUUUUCAGGAGUCUCUUACUUUCUUGUGACUCUGCCUUUUUUUUUUUUUUUUUUUCCCAUGAGGGAGGGUCAUAAAUUAACCUUAGAGGGAGAAUACUUGGUCCCAUCUGAAGUAUAUCUCUUGGUGGUUCCUCAGAGUUGUUGUCUUAUGGACGGUACUCUUUGCCAGUUUCAAGUCUUGUAACUUUUUUCAUCUUUUCAUUAUUCUAUUCAUUAUUUUGAUGAAAACCUACAAUGGAGAACCAGCUCCCAGUACUCCACAACUACUUUGUACCCAGAAGUCAAGAAGGUCCUGUACCAUACCAUAUUAAUUUGUUUUCUCUAGCCCCAUGUUAAUUUGUUCAUUGCCAGUAUUAUCAUCAAAGAUUAUUAAAUAUUAGUUACCAUUUAUUGAGUUCUUACUCAUGUGCUUAAAACUAUGCUAGUGUGUUAUGUUCAUAUUUUUCACGCAAUUCUUACAAAUAACCCUGUAAGACUGGAAUAAUAUAAUAUUCUCUCUCCUUCUCCCUAUCUCUCCCUUUCUCAUUUUAUAAACCAGGAUAUAGU